UUCCCUAUAAAGAACCCAGAAACACACAAACAACAGAGAGCAAGGAAUGCUUUUCUAGAGAUUGUGGAGGAGUGACAAAAAUGGCAGUUUACCUUGCACACCCCACAGCCCAAGACUCCUCAUUACAACUCUGUCAUCUUUUGCAACACCACCUGAGUCUGUGAUUAUCCUUGGCCAGCCUCAUAUCCUGUAUAUUUGCAGCACCCAUUCCAGUGCCUAAAAAAACAGCAGGAGCACAACAUGUAGAAGAAGAAUAAAUAAAUGGUGAAAGGAGUUUGAGAGGAAGAAGAAGAGUUAAAUUUUGUACACCUUAAGUUGAAGAUAUUUGGGGUUCUGGUCUAUUUAAGAGCUUUGAAUUUCACUCUUAC